UACGGGGGGAGCAAGCGUUGUUCGGAUUUACUGGGCGUAAAGGGCGCGUAGGCGGUCGUGACAAGUCACUUGUGAAAUCUCCGGGCUUAACUCGGAACGGUCAAGUGAUACUGUCGGACUAGAGUACAGAAGGGGCAACUGGAAUUCUCGGUGUAGCGGUGAAAUGCGUAGAUAUCGAGAGGAACACCUGCGGCGAAGGCGGCCCCCUGGUUGGAUACUGACGCUGAUACGCGAAAGCGUGGGGAGCAAACAGG
rnacentral:rRNA from 1 species